UGGGCUGCUUCACUGGUUCUGCUAAAGAGGUGUUUUUCUCUCUGUGGUGCUGGGGCUUGGUGAGGGGGUUAUUGGACACUAGGCCCACUUCAACCAUCUGCUAGCAGUGGAUGUUCAGUGUAAUUUCCAGUCUUGAGGACCAUCCCUCUGCCGUUCGGACCAUGGCAUUAAAUCUCAGAUCUGCCCUGACAUUGAGAUGCAGCUGUGAGCUGUACUGCUACCUCAGAGGGAAGCCCCCCAAAGCACCAGCAGACCACUUCGAUUUCUGCUCUGAUGCCAUGGAGCGCUGUUGGAGGAAAUCCAGGCACUAGGACCACCCUGACCAUUUCAGAGGGGAAAAGGAAUCUCAUCUUGCUUUCUCUCCUGCUCAGCAACCAUAGUUCACCUCCUUGCUGCACUCCCAUUCCAUUGCUAUUGCCUUGACCCUCCGGUGUAAAAUUAACUCCUGCUUUAAACUCCCAGUCUUUCCUACUUGUUGUCACUGAAGUAACUGUCAGUACUUAAUACAGUGGUCUGUACUGAAGAAGUACUGAACAAAGAUUCCGGUGACGACCCCUCCCCCCCACCCCCGAAGCCCCUGGACUUGCCCUGUCCCCAAACCUUCCUCACCUACUCUACAUCAUGCUAAGUGUUGUUCUCUGUCACACCUGUCUGAGUUCGAAAUAUACAAUGCCUGGCAGUGCACAGGUUGGGGUGGCAUGUCCAAGAAAAAAUAUUUAGUCACUAUUACUUUCUCUACAGCGGGUGCCCAAUGCAAGGAUCGUAUCUGUGCCAUUUUGGAUCAUGAGAUCAAGCCUCAGACCUGUCCUGACAUUGAGAUGGAUCUGUAGGCUGGACUCCGACCUCAAAGGGAAAGUGCUUUUUUUUGUGGGUAUGUGUGUGGGUGUGUGUGGGAGAGAGAGAGAGAGACAGAAAGGGGUUAGGGUUAAUGGGGCAGGGUGAGAGAGCAGGGAGGAAGAGGAGGCCACUGUGGACACAAAAGUUGCUUCUGGAAAUGGGGACUGGGGCUCUGUGCAGCAAAUUGAUUCUGUUAGACUUGACUGUGGGUCUGAGGAGACUCGGGGCCCUUAAUUCUAUAGACGGAUCUAACCUCUGGGUUCUCACAG